rnacentral:rRNA from 1 species
ACUCAAAGGAAUUGACGGGGGCCCGCACAAGCAGCGGAGCGUGUGGUUUAAUUCGAUGCAACGCGAAGAACCUUACCAGGGUUUGACAUGCGCGUGGUAGAACGGGGAAACCCGAACGACCCGCAAGGGAGCGCGCACAGGUGCUGCAUGGCUGUCGUCAGCUCGUGCCGUGAGGUGUCGGGUUAAGUCCCGUAACGAGCGCAACCCUCGUCAGUAGUUAUUUGUCUACUGAGACUGCCGGGGCAACCCGGAGGAAGGCGGGGAUGACGUCAAGUCAGCAUGGCCCUUACGUCCUGGGCUACACACACGCUACAAUGGUCGGUACAAUGGGACGCAAGGCCGCGAGGUGGAGCCAAUCCCCAAAACCGAUCUCAGUCGGAAUUGCAGGCUGCAACUCGCCUGCAUGAACGCGGAGUUGCUAGUAACCGCUGGUCAGCACACAGCGGUGAAUACGUACCCGGGCCUUGCACACACCGCCCGU